rnacentral:rRNA from 1 species
UACGAAGGGAGCAAGCGUUAUUCGGAAUGACUGGGCGUAAAGGGCGCGUAGGCGGAUAGGUACGUCGGAUGGGAAAGCCCUGGGCUUAACCUGGGAAGGACAUUCGAUACGGUUUAUCUUGAGUGUGUGAGGGGAAGACGGAAUUGCGAGUGGAGAGGUGAAAUUCGUAGAGAUUCGCAGGAACACCGGCGGCGAAGGCGGUCUUCUGGUGCACAACUGACGCUGAGGCGCGAGAGCGUGGGGAGCAAACAGG